rnacentral:rRNA from 1 species
AUUGAACGCUGGCGGCAGGCCUAACACAUGCAAGUCGAACGAGUGGCGGACGGGUGAGUAAUGUCUGGGAAACUGCCUGAUGGAGGGGGAUAACUACUGGAAACGGUAGCUAAUACCGCAUACCAUCAGAUGUGCCCAGAUGGGAUUAGCGGGUGGGUGGGGUAACGGCUCACCACGGCGACGAUCCCUAGCUGGUCUGAGAGGAUGACCAGCAACACGGGAACGGAGACACGGUCCAGACUCCUACGGGAGGCAGCAGUGGGGAAGAUUGAAAAAUGGGCGCAAGCCUGAUGAAGCCAUGCCGCGUGUAUGAAGAAGGCCUUCGGGUUGUAAAGGACUUUCAGCGGGGAGGCGUUACCCGCAGAAGAAGCACCGGCUAACUCCGUGCCAGCAGCCGCGGUAAUUC